GUAUAUAACUAGUAAACCAGCUCUCAAUUAAUUUAUAUUUUCUGCUACAUCUUUAUGGUGAAACUCGACUGUGUGUUAAUGGUCCUCAGAAGAUUCUAGACAACACUGAUGCUCUACUUAUUAUUAAAGGUAAAACUCACCCUAUUGAAGAGGACAAGCUUAAGAUCUAUGCACUGACUUAGUACCACUUAUCCCAAUUUUCACUUAACAAGGGCGCUUAUGCAAGACUUCUCCAGAAAGUGCCAAGUUUCUGCCAAGGGAGGCAGUGAGAGCUCCAGGAUCCCUCCACAGCCAAAGCCAACGUGCGACAAGGGCAAUCCCCUCCAGGAGUUCCAUCUAGUGAGAUCAGACCAAUUCUAUCUCCGUGCAAGCCUGAGGAUCGUGGAUGAAAGGAGCUGUGACUGAGUGCAAAGGCCUGGAAUGGAGCUGCAAGCCUGCACAGAAACCGAGCUAUUCCUCUGGAAAAGCUGAACUUCCACAUGUGCAGGUGAGCUCUUGGAGGUCUCAGUGACCACCUGCACAAUUAACUGCUGCAUCUACAAGAGUAUUUUUUGACAAGAUGGGUUUGUGUAAUUCUUAAAAUCAAAGCAUCAGAAGGCAUGGCAAAAAGUCUGAUUUACAAUACCACGGGAGUAUUUCGUGUGGUUGGGCCAACACGGAGGAAACAGCAAUUGCAAUGUUAGCAGUGAAUGAUAGCACAGUGCAGCUAAGAAUACAUUCAGCAAGCUGAGAUCCUCUUUUAACACUGACAAAAAAGAGAAAAAAUAUAAAAUGUGUGUCUGUGUGUGUACAU